GAUGAACGCUGACAGAAUGCUUAACACAUGCAAGUCUUUGGCGAAGCUGUGCUUGCACAGCCUAGCCAAGGCGGACGGGUGAGUAACGCGUAAGGAACUUGCCCUGCAGUCAGGGAUAACAGACGGAAACGACUGAUAAGACCUGGUAAAGUCAGGCGGACUCAUGUCCAGCCUGAUGAAAAGAGAUGCUGCAGGAGAGCCUUGCGUCCUAUUAGCUUGUUGGUGGGGUAACGGCCCACCAAGGCGAGGAUAGGUAGCCGGCCUGAGAGGGUGGACGGCCACAAGGGGAAUGGGAUACGGCCCUUACUCCUACGGGAGGCAGCAGGGGGGAAUAGUGGACAAUGGGGGCAACCCUGAUCCAGCAAUUCUGUGUGCACGAUGAAGGUUUUCGGAGUGUAAAGUGCUUUCAGCAGGGAAGAAAAAAAUGACGGUACCUGCAGAAGAAGCGACGGCUAAAUACGUG
rnacentral:rRNA from 1 species